UGGACCCGUCCCGGAGCGUUAGAAAGCGGCCGCUCUCCGUCAGGGCUGGGCAGCACGAAAGGGGGAUCUCCAUCAAUCGUACAGCCAGACAGGAGCUGGGACGGCAGAGAGCUCCCACUGAGCGUGGGGUCUUGGAUAAAAAAUGCCUCUGUCGGAGGGACAUUCUGUCUAACUUUGAAAAAAUACAGCGACUUGUGUGAAAACUUUGAAAAAAAUACAGUUACUUGGGUGAAAACUUUGAGAAAACACAGUGACUUGCAUGAAAACUUCACUCUACUUUAGCUUAAAUCAAGGUCCCUCUGUGAGCCCCAUUCCCACCAUGGCAUCUGUGGGUCUGGGCGCUCGGCAGGGUGUAGGGUGAGGCCAGUCUCCACAUGGAGUGAGCAGCUCGUCCUGGGCUCCAGAUACACGGAGAACACAGCUCCUAAGUCCCUGAGCUGCCCCAGAGCAGGGAGAGCUGCUCUCAAAGGCAACAGCCUCGGGAACACCUGCCCAGGACGUAGAAGGAACAGCACGCUUAGAAGAGCCAGAUUCUUCCUCAUUUUCAUGGACACGCUUUCUGAUUGUGGUUGGCUAAGAGAG